GCCCGGGAAUCCUGCUUUUUUAUUUCCACUCGGCAGCAUUUCUCUUGCAGGGGGAACAUAAAUUCAGUUGCUUUUUGUGCAGAUUUUGCAAAAUUAGUCUCUCUCCAUCUAGCUGGGGGUACAGAUAUAUACACCCUGGAUAGAGGGAUGGAGGAAUGGGUCCACCCUGUGAUGAAAGGGAGCCUCAUCUGUGGGAAGGGAAGGAGGGAAGACCCAGUGGAGAACCACCUGGUGCUUGUCAGACUGGAGCAUUUCCAGGACCUACCCCAGACUCACUGGCUAAGAAGAUCUGCAGGUAGGGCAUAGUGGACUGUGUUAAUCCCCGUGCUGGGUAUGACAGCACACAGAAGGUGAAAGCAGGAAAAUGAAAAGAAGAUUGAAAGACUGAAGAAGGAAUCUGAGGCCAGCCUGGGCUGUAAGAGACUGUUUUAAAGUCACACACACACACCGUCCAAAGGGCAGGAGGCUAGUCUGUUGUGACUCUGGUUCCAGAGCUAGACAAUUACAGCUCAAGUUCAUCACAACUCCGAGUGGGAGCUCUGGCUUCACCCACUCUGUCUGCAGCUUCUAGGACUGUACCCGUGUGUAAGGCUACUGGGCAGUGACAGGAGAGCUUUUGAAAGUGGGAGCUCUCUGCAGCUGGAGCUAUGGACGAUGGAGAAGGAAGGGGACUUUGAGAGAUAAAGGAUCCUGGGGCACUGGAGACAGGAUCCUAGCCUACUGUCCUCUGAGAGACUCCACCCAGCAGCAGAUCGAAACACAUGCUGAGACCCACAGCUAAACAUUAGGAAAGCAGCCUGGGCACUUCUGUCGGCUCCCACCCCCUGUGCCAAGAGAUCCUGUUACCCUGGCAACUCCUGACAGGCUGGGAGACUGCACUCUGGCCAGAGGCAUAUGGGUUCAUGACCUUGGAUGCCAGCGAUUGACCCAGCAUGGUUGAUGUUUCCAUCUGCUCCCCGGGGAUGAUAAGCUUCGCCUGAGUUAUUGCAUGAUGCAGAGUAAGCACCCAAUUAAUAUGAAUCACAGCCCACACACGCUCCAGCACUUGCUAGGGGCCACUUCGUCUGUAUUAACUCAUUUAAUCUUUGCAACAGUCCCAUGAUCCCUUACCACAAACAGCUUUGUUUCUAUAAAUGAGAAAACAGAAGUGCAGAGAGGACAGUCUCAGGCCCAGGUGUGCCAGUAAGUGCCCAGGCAGGGGCCAGCGAGAUGACUCAGGGGGUUAAGGUGCUUGCUACCAAGUCUGAUGACUUGAGUUUCAUCCCCAGGACUCACGUGGUACAAGAGAACAAACUCUUGCAAGUUGUCUUCUGAUCCCCACCUGCAUGCUGUGGCACAUGCAUGCCCACCCCGCCCCCAACAUAUUAAAUAAAUAAAUAAAGUAUAACUGAAAAAUACUAGGAUGUUGGGAGGCAUUUAAAACAAAAUGUACAUGCCCGACCAGGAUUUGAACCCAGGAAUCCCAGGUCUCACACCCACAGACUCAACAGCACCACCAUUUCUGGGUCAGACUAGGACAAGCUGCAAGUCCUAAGGGCUGUGGGCCAGCCAUUCCUUCUCCUUAAACUCCCUCUGCUUUCUCUUUGCCUGUCUCCAAGGUGAAGAGGAAAGCCUUGGGCCCUCCCCCGGGGCUAGUGCUGGCAGAAGCACCAGACACCAAGAAUGAUGUAGCCGCCUUAGGCCUGUCGUUGUGCUGUGCUCAGCGGCUUUGCUUGGAAACGAUGAUGGAGUAAGAUUUAGAAGCCUGGAGAAUGGACUAUUAUU